rnacentral:rRNA from 1 species
CCUACGGGAGGCAGCAGUAGGGAAUAUUGGACAAUGGACGCAAGUCUGAUCCAGCCAUCCCGCGUGAAGGAUUAAGGCCCUAUGGGUUGUAAACUUCUUUUCUUUGGGAAUAAAAAGCGGUAUUCAUAUCGCCUUGAAGGUACCAGAGGAAUAAGCACCGGCUAACUCCGUGCCAGCAGCCGCGGUAAUACGGAGGGUGCAAGCGUUAUCCGGAUUCACUGGGUUUAAAGGGUGCGUAGGUGGCUUUGUAAGUCAGCGGUGAAAGCCUGGAGCUCAACUCCAGAAUUGCCAUUGAUACUGCAGAGCUUGAAUCAAGUUGAGGUGGAUGGAAUAUUACAUGUAGCGGUGAAAUGCUUAGAUAUGUAAUAGAACACCGAUUGCGAAGGCAGUUCACUAAGCUUGUAUUGACACUGAGGCACGAAAAGCGUGGGGAUCAAACAGGAUUAGAUACCCUGGUAGUCCACGCCCUAAACGAUGCAAACUCGACAUUAGCGAUAUACAGUUAGUGUCCAAGCGAAAGCGUUAAAGUUUGCCACCUGGGAAGUAGACCGCAAGUUGAAACUUAAAUGAAUUGACGGCUUGAGAGNGCGAGAGACACGAGGAGAGG